AAGUGUCUAUGAUGUUCAGUUAUCCCUGUCUGAAAUACAGUGUAUGACAACAUAAAUAUACUGAGACACUU
rnacentral:snoRNA from 1 species